AAACAUAAAUCUGUCUGUAAAAUCUGUCAUCCCAUUGGUCCCAGUGUUGACUAGGGUUAUCUGCAUGGAUAAGCAGAUGUUCAUUUCCUCCCCCAGCUCUCCAUGUUUUGUGUUUAGCUGAAGUGAAAAAAAAAGUGUCUUUAACAAAAAGAAGGAUUUUUUUUUUUUUGGUCAAAGGUGUAUAAGUAGCUGUGCUUCUCUGUUAGAAGAGCCAAACAGGAUAUGAAAGUCUGUCUAAAGACCUACUUAGUCUAGUAAUAUCAUAUCAGCCUUGGUGUUUCUUGUUUGAAAUGCACCCAAUUUGC
rnacentral:snRNA from 1 species